AUGAGUGACUGCAGUUGUGGCCGGAAGUACGCGAGCGCCGUGAGCUGGGCAAGCCCUGUCCGUCUCCAGCAGAAGAGGACCUAUGUGGAUGCUUCUAAGCCGACAGUACUGAUGCACAGAUGCACAGAAGGGGAACACAGGUUGGACUUUGCCCUUUUAGAAGCCCUUCCCCGUCCCUUCCCAAGUUUGGAUGCACUGGAAGUCACUGCUUUAGUUAGCCUCACAGCAGGGCUUGUCCGUCUUCUCAGCGACCUGGCGGCUCCUCUGCGCACCUCUCCACUGUGUGUCCCGUCCUGUGAAGGACACACACAGGCUUGUGCUCUCCCGGGGCACUGUCGGUUUCACACGGCUCAACCCUUGAGCCGAGAAGCUCAGCCCGUCCAGGCUCAGAACUCUCUCUGAUCCCAAGAACUGGACAAACGAGAGUUGAUUCGAGUUUUUAGGAGCCCGAGUGUCCGCUCAUGGCACUCAGCAGCACUGCUCACCUUAGUUUUGGCCACACCUCAUAAAGACCCUCACAAAAGAGAGCUCCAGAACUGCUUCAGAAGCCGGCAAGGAGGACGGGCUGUGUUCCAAGCAAGGGGGGAGUUCUGAGGGGGGAUUCACGGUAAUGUGUCUUUUCAUCCAUUUAAAAAGCUUCAAACAAUAGCCAUAUAUUUUGCUCACACUAAAUGCAGUUGUGCAAUAGAUGGGGUAGGGCCAAGGGCUGGGUCACAAAUGAUGCCACAGCUGUUCCUCCCUUCCUGAAGACGAGUGGGAGAGGAGGCUGAAGGAGGACCGUGCUCAAGGAGGGGUGCACAGGGCCCCUCCGCACCCAGGCCCCCGCGAUGCCCACAGUGUAGUGUGCCCUGUACAUCCCUGCCUAGGAAGAGCUCGUAGCAGUGGAUUAUUUUUCUUCCCUUUAUGCAUCCGCACUGACACCUUUGUCUGUAGGGUUGUGAGCAGGCUUCAGUGUCCUGUACAACACACACUGCCCAAACUUAAUUCCCAUAAUGCAAAAAAGCCUUUGGUUUUAUUGGACUUGUAUGACCUUGCUGCAAUAACAGAACUGUCCAAAGUGUCCAGUGGACUAAAAUUUUAAGAUCUGGGGAUUUUGUUACAAUCAGAUUUUUCAUAAUUCAUACAUGUAUUUAUAUAUGGUUUUGGAAACUGAACCCAAGGUCAUUGUACUGAGCUACAUUUUACUUUAUUUUAUUUUGAGACAGGGUGUAAGUUGCUGAGGCUGAGCCUGAACUUGAAAACUUCCUGCCUCAGCUUCCCAGAGUACUGGGAUUACAAAUGUGUGCCACCAUGAACGACUACAAUUUAUGUCUUUAAUCUCUGUAUUCUCAGAUUUAAGAGAUGUAUCCAAAAUGUUUCCAAAAACAUUUUGCCAGUGAUUCCUCAGACAGAGGGUUCAUACAUAGAAUAAAGAAUUUUAAAAAAUUAGACAUCCCAAAAUAGAAGACCCAAUCAAAAACUGGGGAAGCCAAGUGAAUAGACAGAAGUGCAGAUGGCCUAAAAUCCAUGAAAAAAUGGUCAGCAUCACCUGCUAUCAGAGAAAUGCAAAUUAGAACAGCACUGGGAUUCUGUCUUAACCCAGAAAGAUUGGUUAUCAUCAAGAAAUCAAAUAACACAAAGUGUUGGAGAGGCUGUGGGGAAAAAGGAACACUUCUACAUCAUUGGUGAGAAUCUGAACUAAUAUAAUGACUAUGGAAAUCAGUGUGGCGAUCCCUCAAAAAAUUAAAACUAGAAAUUCCAUUUGACCCAGCUAUUCCCCUUUUAGGUAUUUUCUCCAGAGCUGAAGACUUCAUAUUACAGUGGUCUGUGCACACCCAUGUGUAUGCAGCACAACCAUAAUAGCUGAAUCCUGGAAGCUGCCUAUAUGUCCAUCAACAGAUGAACGGCUAAAGAAGAUGUGGUGUUCAUGCACUCUGCAGUACUACUCUGCCAUAGAAACAACGUGAGACUAAUAGGUAAAUGACCUUGAGACCAUAAUGUUCAGUGACAUAAAUCAGACACAGGCUUAAAUAUCACAUGGCUUCUUGUACGAGAAACUCAAAUUAUAAAUAGAGCGAAAUAAGAGAUAGGGAGCAGGAAGUAGGGAGAAGUGCUUUCCCCAGUGGGAAGGGGACCAAGAGGCGGAGGGAGGGAGGGAGGAAAGGGGUGAAGAGGGGUCAGGGUGCCUUAUGUAAGCACCCACUUGCCCCAGAGGACAGCACCACGGUACCGCAAGCACGGACUAGUGAAAAAAGACAGCUGCCUCCCGGUAGUGUUCUAACAGUGGUCUCCCUCUUCUGACCACCUUUGCUAUCCCUUCUGACUGUACGCCCCUCUGUGUGGUGGAGGAAGGUGACACCCAUGGAGGUCACCACGCAAUCCUACAUGUGUCCAGCCUGCCCUCGUUUCACAAGACUUCUGAUCUGACCCCUCCAGAGAGACAGAGUAGGAACACCAGUCCCAUUACACGUUUGGGAUCACGUGGAAAGGUCAGCUGUACACACGCAGAACACUGAAGACACGGGGCCCUGGUGUUCUCCCGGAAUUGCAAGAGGAGGGCAUCUAGGGAUGGAGACAGAGACACAGCGACAGAGACAGAGACUGAAACAGGGAGGGAAGGAGAGAGAGAGAGGGAAGACGGAGGAGGAGGGGAGGGCGAGGCGGGGG
ensembl:lincRNA